AUGGGGGCAAACAAACGAGUUGAUUUCAGUUCAUCGCUACUUGAACACUUUGAAAAUGUCUUAUGAUUAUCAAGGAAAACUAUCAAAAGAGGCUGCUGAACGUUACCAAAAUAAGUUAGAUUAAGUUUCAGUUGCAAAAAUUGACUUUCCCUUUAUACCAAUCUGUAAACUUGGAUGGAGUCAUUGGCAACCAGCAGAUUAACUUGAUAGAUAUUUUUUUGCAUGAGAAAUCGGGUUAGCUCAAAGUCAUUAUUGUGAUUUUAUGGUUUGAACUCCAACAAAGUUUUUGGUGAUUCGAAUUAAACCAGAGGUUGAUUUUAUUGAUGAAGUUCUAAAAAAGGUUACCAUGUUUCGGGAACAGGAAAUCUUACCAGAGCUUUUAUCACAAAGAAUUGAGACAACUGAAUUGAAAAAAUGUUCUUCCCCUAAAAAACAAACACUAUAUUGUAUUUUAAAAAAAAAACAAUAUUGAUUGUCAAAUGAUAUGGUAGCUUGUGACAAUUGGUUCCAUCAUUCAUGUAUAGGCCUCAAAAAAAUACCUGGUAUUGUAAAAAGUGUCAAAAAAAGAAAUAGAACAGAUCCUACCGUGCUGUUACUUAGCCUGUCAUUAAUAAUAUUUAAAUAUGUGUUCUGUUUGGAGCUCUAGCACAGUGUUGGCUCACUCAUAAGUAUAUUUGGGUUCUAUUUGGACCUCUGGCGCAGUGUUGGCACACUCGUACGUAAUUAUGUGUGUUUGUGUUCUGUGUUGACGUCUGGCAUAGUGUUAACUCACUCAUAAGUCAUUAUGUGUAUAAUUUUGUUUUGUGUUAUGUGUGUUAUAAUUGUGAUGUUAUUGGUGUGAUGUUUUGUGUAGAUAAUUUUUCUUGUUGGUGUCUAUUGUUACAAAUGAUUAUUAGAUUUAGAAAUGAUUAUUAGUUUCUUUACUGAAACUCACUACUUCUAAUCAUCAUUGUUAUUUGACUUAAAAUUUAUCACAGUGAACCUUCAAUUAUAGUAAAAAUAAAUGACUAAACUUUCUUUUAACCUUUAAGUAGUCUCUUCAAUUGUGAUCUCUUGAAAGAUGUUAAUUACUUUCAUAGUAAUUAAAAGAAAUUUAUUUUUUGCAUAGUCAUAUAUGUUAACUAAAAGUACUUGCUGCAAUUACCUAAAUUCAAUUUAUUCAUCAUUUUGAAAUUAUUGCACAGUUUACA